rnacentral:snRNA from 1 species
AUACUUACCUGGCAGGGGAGACACUAUGAUCACAAAGGUGGUUUUCCCAGGGUUAGGCUCAUAUUCCAGGUGUGCUGACUGACCCCUGCAAUUUCCCCAAAUGCAGGAAAUUCAACUCUAUAAUCGGUGGUUGGGGGGACUGUGCUUGCAAUUUCCCAU